rnacentral:sRNA from 1 species
AGCCGCUGUAGUGAGCCUGUCGAUGCAUCCAUAGGCAUGACCUCACGAUGGAGGAGAUCACACUCUGCAGGCGGGACAUGAUAACUGCUAUUGAGAGGAAUAAUUGGCAAUUACCUUCUUCUUCAUUCUAUGAUCCGUAUGAAAAAGCAGAGCGUGAUGUGUAGUUAUACAGCGCACUGUUAGUCAAAACCUCAUUGCAUAGACAGCAUCCCCUUCAUUCCAGGAGUCAAAAGAACCAUCGUCAAACCCUUCCAUGGCCUGAAUACUCUCCCAGCUAUGUUCCCUGAAAAGCUUCUUCGCAGCGUUCCAAACACUCGUGUAGAACAUGUCGCUCUCCUCCGUAUUAUCUUCUCGCGCAAUGCAUCUCAUCACUCGCCCAUCGUCCGCCUUGACAGCAAAAUUCGCAUCGCCCCUCUCCACAGCAAUGUCCGCUACAUCUGCGCUCCUGUACCCACCCUCAUCUUCUGCGUCAUCGCCGUCUGAAUCGUCCUCAUUUUCAACUAUCGUGAAUCCCGCAUCCCGAGCUCGGGCCCAGAAACUGUUUUCAUCACUAUCAGAUGAUGCAAACCCGCUCCAUUCAUAACUCGGCAGCCUGAUGCGCACUCUCCACCCAUUAUACGGCUUGAACUUGGCCGUGAUAAUCUCCUUCCACCGCCAGGUGGAAGGUAUGUCAAGCCACGCGCUUCCGUCGCCAGUGGUUGCACACAUCCAGAGCCGCCGGUAGCCAUCAGCUUCAAGUACGGACCCGAAGCAGUCUGUGGUUUGAAAGCCCGUGUAGGGCCCUCCGCCCACCCCACAGAAGACUUCAAGGAGGUCAAGCUGCAGGCCCGGGAAUAAGCCGAGAAUGGCACCA